rnacentral:rRNA from 1 species
GGAAAGCUUACCAGGACAAAACAUAAGAAGGAUUGACAGACUGAUCGCUCUUUCUUGAUUUUAUGGGUGGUGGUGCAUGGCCGUUCUUAGUUCGUGGAGUGAUUUGUCUGGUUAAUUCCGUUAACGAACGAGAUCUUAACUUACUAAUUGAAAAAUAUAUUGUAUAUAUUUUUAAAUUUAGAAGGACCAUGUGUACUUAACACAAGGAAGCGUGAGGCAAUAA